rnacentral:rRNA from 1 species
AACGAACGCUGGCGGCAGGCUUAACACAUGCAAGUCGAACGAGAUCUUUGGAUCUAGUGGCAGACGGGUGAGGAACACGUGGGAACAUCCCUUUCAGUUCGGAAUAACGUUGGGAAACUAACGCUAAUACCGGAUACGUCCUUCGGGAGAAAGAUUUAUCGCUGAAAGAUUGGCCCGCGUCUGAUUAGCUAGUUGGUGAGGUAAUGGCUCACCAAGGCUACGAUCAGUAGCUGAUCUGAGAGGAUGAUCAGCCACAUUGGGACUGAGACACGGCCCAAACUCCUACGGGAGGCAGCAGUGGGGAAUAUUGGACAAUGGGCGCAAGCCUGAUCCAGCCAUGCCGCGUGAGUGAUGACGGCCUUCGGGUUGUAAAGCUCUUUCACCGAUGAGGAUAAUGACGGUAGUCGGAGAAGAAGCCCCGGCUAACUUCGUGCCAGCCGCCGCAGUAA